AGAAACUUGUUAUUAAAUAAAACUAUUACGAACCCUGGAAAUCAGUUCCAGUAGUGGACUUCGAUCCGUCCAGUUCCGAAGAGCUUUGGUGGGCACGCCAAAUAACAAUGCCAUUGGCCGGGGCGCCAACUAGGCUGACAGGCGCCUUUCUAGUGCUUUUGCAGCUAGCGACCGUGCGUAGUGAAGAUGCGAAGUGCUCCAUACAGACCUGUCCCCAAGUGGACCCUCAGUAUUACACCGUUCACAUUGUGCCUCAUUCGCACAUGGAUCUCGGAUGGCUGAAGACUGUUGAACAAUACUUUUUUGGUACCAAGGCUGGUAUCACAUCGGUAAGCGUCCAAUACAUCUAUGAUAGUGUACUAGCGGAACUGCUGAGCGACCCAAACAAAAAAUUCAUGUUUGUUGAAACGGGAUUUUUCGAACUCUGGUGGACACAUAGAGACAAUUCAGCGCGGGAAAAUUUCAAACGUCUAGUGCUCAAUGGGCAGAUCGAGUUCGUCAGUGGAGGUUACGUAAUGAAUGAUGAAGCAACCGUUCAUUACAUGACUACCAUCAAUCAAAUGACCUAUGGACUCGGCAUACUGAAAGAGAUCUUUGGCGAAUGUGGUACAACUCGCGUUGGUUGGCAGAUCGAUCCUUUCGGUCACUCACGAGAAUUCGCGUCACUACUGGCUCAAAUGGGCUUUCAGGGUCUAUACUUGGGCCGAAUUGAUUAUCAAGAUAAGAGUCACCGAGAGGCAACACGCACCAUGGAGUUUAAUUGGGAAGCUAGUGAGUCUUUGCCCCGCGCUCGUCUAACUGGCAUUGUCCUAGCUAAUAAUUAUUCGCCCCCGCCUGGUUUCUGCUUUGACGAGUUCUGUAACGAUGACCCCAUUGUAGAGGACCCCGAAGCAGAGGAAUACAACGGGCCGAAGCGAGCCGAAGACUUCAUGAAAUGGCUGACGGAUAAGGCAAACUUCUACGCUACGAACAACUUCCUUGUGACCAUGGGUAACGAUUUCAAUUACCAAAACGCCCACAAAUGGAUGACAAACUUGGACGCCUUGAUGCGUUCUAUUAACGGAAAAGGCUACCAAAUCAAGGGUCUUCCUGUGCGUCUCGUGUAUUCUACCCCAAGUUGCUACCUCGCUGUCAUACAGGAUCAGAAAAUGGUGAACAAAACAGACGACUUCUUCCCAUACGCAAGCGAUCCUCACGCUUAUUGGACAGGGUACUUCACUAGCCGUCCUGCCUUCAAGUACCUCGAUCGCUUUUCUAACAACUGGUUCCAGGCCACCACACAACUCGCUGCAAUGGCUAGAUUGGGUCCAGGACAUUUGGGCCAGCUGCGGCGCGCUCUUGCAAUAGCGCAGCACCAUGACGCUGUAACAGGUACUGCCAAACAGCACGUUAAUGAUGAUUACACGAAAAUGGUGUCAGUCGGAUUAACUCAGGCCGAGAAGGUGGCUGAGAAGGCUUUAGCUGCCUUGAGUGGAAAGACCUUUCCAGGUGCAAAAAGCAUAACAUUCUGCCGCGGACUCAACAUCUCGGAGUGCGACGUAAUCGACGGAUUAACCAACGGAGAUGGAGUCAGCGUUACAGUGUAUAACCCAGCAUCUCAAAAGGUGCAAACUUAUAUUCGAAUACCCGUGUCAGCCGUCAAUCAUUUCACCGUUACCACUCCAAAUGGAACGAAUAUCCCGUUCGACUGUCUACCGAUCUCCGAUGGCUUAAAGAAACUGGCAGAGAGGAAAGGCAAGGCAACUCAUGAACUGGUGUUCCCUGUCGAGGUUGAUGCACUAUCGUUUACGAAUGUGGAUAUCCGUCACCGACCGGCUGAUAAACGAAUUCCGUGGUCAUACCCAGAGCUUGAAGUUACGGAGCCCCGUACGAUAUCUCGGGAUGGUUUGCAAGUGGACGUCGACCCGACACGUGGUAUUGUGAGAUUGAGUCUCAACGGUAUCGAAAUCAAUGCUACGGCUGGCUACUAUUUUUACGCAAGUCGCACCGGAAACAAUACAAAGUUCAACUUCCGCGCAAGCGGAGCUUAUAUUUUUAGGAAUGACGGCCCUGCUAAGCAGCUUCCGCUGAAAUCCAUAAAAAUUAUCGAGGGCCGUACAAUCACUGAGGUACGUGCACAGUACGGAGAUUGGGUGUACGAGAGUUAUAGAAUUGGUCUUAACUGCUUCGAAGUUGAUUGGAUUGCUGGUCCCAUUCCGAUAAAGGACCAAAUUGGAAAGGAACUCGUUUACAGCAUCGAUUCGAACAUAGACUCCGGAUCAGAGUUCUUCACUGACUCAAACGGCCGUGAAAAUCUCCGCCGGCAACGGAAUUUCCGUCCGACGUGGCUACUUAACUCUUCUGAGCCUGUUGCCGGAAACUACUACCCCGUCAAUACACUGAUUGCCAUCAAGGACAAAAAGCGGACAAUUGGAAUUGUCACUGACAGGUCGCAUGGAGGUUCAAGUCUCAAAUCAGGACAAGUUGAAAUUAUGCUUCAUCGUCGUUGUCUUCAUGACGAUGCUUUUGGUGUGAAUGAAGCGCUAAAUGAGACAGGCUAUGAUGGAAAUGGUCUGCAGGUUCGUGGUACAUUUAGAAUCUAUCUAUUUAACGCUUCAAGGGAGAGCCUUGGUCGCAAAUUCAGGCCGUUGGCCCUGCAAAUGACCCUUCGGCCGAUCGUCGCGUUUAGCCCUGCACCACUUCACCCCAAGCAAAUCCUCAUUGAUCCAUCGGCUCUUUCCAGCAACGUGCAACUCCUUACCCUUGAGCAGACGUCAUCCAAGGAAUAUCUUGUUCGACUGGAAAACAUUUUUGAACGCAAAGACAACCCCAAGACGGCUACGGUGGACCUUCAGCGACUUUUCCGAGGUCAGGUGUCCUCGGUUCGUGAAACCCUGCUGGCAGCUAAUAUCGACAGGCCGAAGAGACAUAGGGUUCUUUUGAACUCGGGAAUAAAGCUUUUACCAAUGCAGAUUCGUACAUUUUUCGUCACGCUCAACUAACAAGGCCAUGAUGAUUGAUCACACCUCAUUACUGGGAAAUCGCCAAAUGCGAGCCUUCGUCUAGAUCUUGUAGAGUGGAUUUGACUUAUCAGAAACAGUGACCUACGAGCAGUUCCUACAUGAGCAUGGAAACCUAAUAGCGCCGGUCUCCUUUCUUAUUGGUGACAUGACAAGUGAUUCCCGGAGGAGAUCGAAUAAGACGAAUCAGCAACGGGUGAUUCGUAUACUGUGGAUCGUAUCACUGCGAUGGCUUAUCUGAAGUAAAAUUUCGUACAUUCAUGAGACACUUUUGCGUAUGUUAUCGACUGGCCAACAGACAGCUGUAGACGACACUGCGACAUUGUGUUCAUCACUCUUCAGCAAAGUCAUGUACAAGACGACGUUUCUACACCUAGUUCUACGACUUUACAUACCAAGAAACUAGCCCACUUUGUUAUAUUGAUUAAUAAAGGUCUGCGCCUAUUCUUCAUUCUAGUUCGAGUCAUUAGACGAAUGGCCCCCUGUAUUAUAUCCGGGUCUGGGUUACGCAGAACGAGGCUUCCGAUUACCCACCGCUGACUGCGUUAACCUUUCUGUUUAUAUCGGAAUCUCCGCGGAAAUCUUGGGUAGCGUUCGAGCAGUUCAAAAGUUCAUCCCCAACGAACCGAAUUGUGUAGACAAAAUCAGAAGAAUAUUAUUUCGUAUAGAGUACUAUGAAUCUUGGGAUAGACAUCGAUACGAUCUCUGGUAUCGUUAUAACAGGCGAACGAAGGGCUACUUUUUUUCUGCUUUACUUCUGUCACGCCAGGUCAAAAAAUUGGUUUAAAUUAUUUAGUUUACUCUAAGUGUAUGGCAUGCGUGAUUCUUCUGAAAUGAAGGCCCCGCAACAUGGUCAGUGUAACCAGCUUGUCCACGACAGCAUAGCUCAAGAAUCGUUCGACGGAUAUUUCAACAAGCCGCUGUUCGAAAAGGCCGACUACGUCUCAAGAGCAACUUUGUGCUUUUUUUUCUCUACAGUUUACUGCUAUGGGGCCGUAGAAAAGGAGUGUCCUAGGCCAGCAGUGCCUUAAACAGAAAAUGGAGGGACAAAUAUGUCUUGCAGCUGUAUUUUCUUGGACGGCCACGUCUUUUCUGGGGAGGGGGUUCAUAGCAAACAGCUGUAGAACGGCUUCUUAUCCAGCCGAGACCUGCCUACGCCAGCUGUCACCAUAUCAUGCGCGGCGAAAAAGGGCUAGCCAUAGCGAGAUGCUGCAAUGACUUGGGCUUACCUAGGAAGUAGCGUUCAGUUCUGAGACCCGUUGGGUCGACUUCGGUCGACUACACCGUUCUUUCGUUGUCCUGUGUUGUCGUAGGCUGAGCUCCGGGCUGCUGGUCUUCUUUUUCCAGUUUCUCGCAACAGCGGUCACUUUCAUCCCGCUGCCAUCUCGCCGUGUACCGCUUUUCGCGCUCAUACUAUCCUCUAACCGCAUUUUGAUCGUUCGAACAUUUUGUCAUCGCAGCAGUAGCGGCAUUGUUUCAGUUCACGUUUAGAACCAAAAUAACAACAGCUUGCUUCUGCAAAGGUUCGCCUUAAGGACAAACGAAGCCUUCGGUCAGACUUUUCCUUCAUUAUAUUCUAGUGUUACUAUGAAGCGCAGUGGCGAUAGCAACAGCGACAGCAACAACUGCCGCUGGCACCGUCACAGUACACUGCGAGUAUGACAGGCGACGAUUGCCAUUUUCGUGCCAGCCAUAACGGAUACCUCAACUCUGGAAACGGCGGCGGAUUCUCAAGGUGAGCGAUUCGAACCAAUGGCGGCUGUAGGCGACGGUACGGCACAAUACCGGGUGACAGGAGAAUGUCCUUUUAAACAACGAAAACGAUAACCGUUUUCCUAUGGUCCGAGGGUUUUUUCUCCUGUUGUUACUGUUAGGUUAGCGGAAUCGCAUAGAUCAAGGAAGCGGUUCUUGUGAAACGGAUUAUUUAAGGUGAGGUGAUGUUUCAUAAAGGGCUUAGCGGCUUUAGGAAAACUCGUUUGGUCGGUGAGAAAAACCAGAAUUAGUUAUCCGUGGAUGCCUAAGUCUGAUCAUGCCAAGUAGGAAAGACUUGAUAGACACGACAAUGGGAAAGAACGUCUUAAUUAUUCUGGAGUUUAGUAGGUGACUUAUAAUCAUAAUCCGAUAACAAUAUACGUUUUUAAAGCUAUUUGAGUUCAUAUAGUAUUUGUUGUACAUCUGUCCAGUGAUUUUUGAAAAUCAUACUUAAAUAUAUAAUUAUACUUAUAUAGCAUAUAAAAUUAUACUUGAUUUCUUUUCAAUUGAGCAAGGGAAUCUAACUAGAAGAAGUCGGUAUAUGUCCAUUUUGAAAUAGUUCAACAGCGGAUUUUACAUGCCCCACAAGGAGUCAAACUGAAGUACCUCAAGCAGAUUGUUGCUUGUCUGUUAGUAUGCCGUCUUCAUUUCUCAGCCGGGCUGGCAUCGUUAACUGCCGACUUCGCGUUUUCCGAGUGUCCGAUUAGGCGUCUGUUCUGAUCAGAGAAAAGCCACUGUGAAAUUGCCGAAAAAAGACGGCACACUUUUACGAUUUGUCGCGCGUCAAACGCAGUGAUCGUUGGAAAAUGUUAGACAGCCGUGCCUUUGCACCCUUCUAAUAUGGCAAUAGAAAAUUUUUGUUUUUGGGGGG